rnacentral:rRNA from 1 species
GAGUUUGAUCGUGGCUCAGAUUGAACGCUGGCGGCAUGCUUUACACAUGCAAGUCGAACGGCAGCACGGGAGCUUGCUCCUGGUGGCGAGUGGCGAACGGGUGAGUAAUGCAUCGGAACGUAUCCUGGAGUGGGGGAUAACGUAGCGAAAGUUACGCUAAUACCGCAUAUUCUGUGAGCAGGAAAGCGGGGGACCUUCGGGCCUCGCGCUCUUGGAGCGGCCGAUGUCGGAUUAGCUAGUUGGUGAGGUAAAGGCUCACCAAGGCGACGAUCCGUAGCAGGUCUGAGAGGAUGAUCUGCCACACUGGAACUGAGACACGGUCCAGACUCCUACGGGAGGCAGCAGUGGGAAUUUUGGACAAUGGGGGCAACCCUGAUCCAGCCAUGCCGCGUGAGUGAAGAAGGCC